ACUCCUACGGGAGGCAGCAGUAGGGAAUCUUCCACAAUGGGCGCAAGCCUGAUGGAGCAACACCGCGUGAGUGAAGAAGGGUUUCGGCCCGUAAAGCUCUGUUGUUAAAGAAGAACACGUAUGAGAGUAACUGUUCAUACGUUGACGGUAUUUAACCAGAAAGUCACGGCUAACUACGUGCCAGCAGCCGCGGUAAUACGUAGGUGGCAAGCGUUAUCCGGAUUUAUUGGGGCGUAAAGAGAGUGCAGGCGGUUUUCUAAGUCUGAUGUGAAAGCCUUCGGCUUAACCGGAGAAGUGCAUCGGAAACUGGAUAACUUGAGUGCAGAAGAGGGUAGUGGAACUCCAUGUGUAGCGGUGGAAUGCGUAGAUAUAUGGAAGAACACCAGUGGCGAAGGCGGCUACCUGGUCUGCAACUGACGCUGAGACUCGAAAGCAUGGGUAGCGAACAGGAUUAGAUACCCUGGUAGGAUAGCG
rnacentral:rRNA from 1 species